rnacentral:lncRNA from 1 species
GGGAAGUGAGGUGGGAGGGCUAUUGGUUUAUUCUUUGUCUACUGGAUUAACCCGAUUAUACACCAGGCACCAGCACAAACCGCCUCCCCCACCUCCGAGCCUUGUACGGGAGGAACGGAAUGCAGAUUCGAGUUUCAAGUACCUUCUGCUCUUGCUGGGAUUUGCUUUUGAUUGUGUCGACUUGUAGUUUUUCCGUUUAUUAGAAUUUCAUUUUUAAGGGGGGUUAUCUAUGAAUGGAGGCUUUUUGAAGAGCUUCCUUACUAUUUUGCUUCAUGCAGUAGCUAAAGUCUACAGUCUAAGCCUUUUAACUUAAUUCAUUAAUAGACAGGAACAAGAUUACUCAGGGCGACAGCAUGGGCUUCCGAAAUGGGGGGGCGGGGGGGAGGGAAGGGUUGGCUCACUGCAGAUUUCCUUCUUCCCUUAACUAAAAGUCAUCCUUCAUUUCCCACUUUUCUUGCCACCUAGAACAUUUCUCAAGAUUCUGUUGUCCAUGUUGAAGGUGCACUAUUCUUUCCCAUUUACAAAAAAAAAAUAAAGAUAGAAAAUGCAUACAUAUGCACUGUCCUAGCUGCCGUUCAUUUACUAAGAAAUGUGCCUUCACGUGGGAGCACCAGUGGAAAAUUAA